AUACGGAGGGUGCAAGCGUUAAUCGGAAUUACUGGGCGUAAAGCGCGCGUAGGCGGUUUAGUCAGUCAGAUGUGAAAGCACCGGGCUCAACCUGGGAACUGCAUUUGAUACUGCUGAACUAGAGUAUGGUAGAGGGAAGUGGAAUUCCGGGUGUAGCGGUGAAAUGCGUAGAUAUCCGGGGGAACACCAGUGGCGAAGGCGACUUCCUGGACCAAUACUGACGCUGAGGUGCGAAAGCGUGGGUAGCAAACAGGAUUAGAAACCCCAGUAGUCC
rnacentral:rRNA from 1 species